rnacentral:lncRNA from 1 species
CAAUGGAUUUGGUAAUUCAUCCUGCAUUAAAAAAAUGUUCUUGUACAUUAAUGCCUUUCACAGUGCUUAUGUAUGUGUGUGCAACCAAUAUUUACCCAGUGUGAUGGAAGAAAGCAAGUUAAAAAGUGGAGAAAAUGCAUACUAAGACCAUCUCUUAUUGGUCAGGAUGUGGUCUUGACCUUCAAAGCAGGUAGUAAGGACAAUAAAUGUUGAAGUUUCAGUGAUGAUUUGCAUCAGGCACCUUCCAAAUGGGUCUAACUACACUUGAAAACAGCAAGGAACUUCUGGGGGGAUUUAUCUCCUUGCAGUGGCUACACAAAAUAUCUAAUUAUAUGAAGUAUUGCCAUACCUGAAUCUCAUUAUUGUCCAGAGGCAUUCCUUCAUCAAUCUAUCCUCAUAUUCUUAACCUUGUGAUACAAAACAUUGCUUCACUUUACUUGAAAAGGUAAGACUUUCAUUCCUUUUUCAUUUAUAAUGAUCAUGUUUGUACUUAUGGCAAUUUUGAAAAUAAUCCA